UGAUACAAGGGUCAAAAGCAGAUAGCAAUGUAUGUUUACAUACAAAUUGCUAUCUGGUGGCUUGACCCGCCAAACACCGACAAGUAGCAGAUUUGCUUGCAAAUAUGCGGGAUUGGAGGUGUUUGCAGGAUUGCGAAAAUUGCAUAGCAAUGAAGCAAUCCGUAGCAUUG
rfam:Clostridium sp. CAG:253 genomic scaffold, scf64